rnacentral:rRNA from 1 species
ACUCCUACGGGAGGCAGCAGUGGGGAAUAUUGCACAAUGGGCGCAAGCCUGAUGCAGCCAUGCCGCGUGUAUGAAGAAGGCCUUCGGGUUGUAAAGUACUUUCAGCAGUGAGGAAGGUGGGUAUGUUAAUAGCAUAUUCAUUUGACGUUAGCUGCAGAAGAAGCACCGGCUAACUCCGUGCCAGCAGCCGCGGUAAUACGGAGGGUGCGAGCGUUAAUCGGAAUUACUGGGCGUAAAGCGCAUGCAGGUGGUUGUUAAGUCAGAUGUGAAAGCCCGGGGCUCAACCUCGGAAUUGCAUUUGAAACUGGCAAACUAGAGUACUGUAGAGGGGGUAGAAUUUCAGGUGUAGCGGUGAAAUGCGUAGAGAUCUGAAGGAAUACCGGUGGCGAAGGCGGCCCCUGGACAGAUACUGACACUCAGAUGCGAAAGCGU